ACGCGAAGAACCUUACCCAGGCUUGAACAGCGAGUGACCAGCGAUGAAAGUCGCCUUCCGCAAGGACACUCGUAGAGGUGCUGCAUGGCUGUCGUCAGCUCGUGUCGUGAGAUGUUGGGUUAAGUCCCGCAACGAGCGCAACCCUUGUUUGCUGUUGCCAUCACGUUAUGGUGGGCACUCUGCAAAGACUGCCGGUGAUAAACCGGAGGAAGGUGGGGAUGACGUCAAGUCAGCAUGGCCUUUAUGUCUGGGGCUACACACGUGCUACAAUGGCCGAUACAAACCGUCGCAAAACCGUAAGGUCGAGCUAAUCGGAGAAAGUCGGUCUCAGUUCGGAUUGCAGGCUGCAACUCGCCUGCAUGAAGUUGGAAUCGCUAGUAAUCGCGGAUCAGCACGCCGCGGUGAAUACGUUCCCGGGCCUUGUA
rnacentral:rRNA from 1 species